rnacentral:misc_RNA from 1 species
AACUGAUACUACCUGCGGGAACCUGCGGAGGGAUCAUUACCGAGUAAUCCUGCUUGCAGGAACUCCCACCCUUGUGUAUUGACAGUUGCUUCGGCGAGACGCUGGAGACAGCCAUUGUCGGCGUUCGACGGCGUUGAAUUUCGACGCCUGGGAUGCCACGAUGUGUGCUCGCCGAAGACUUACAUACUCUGAGAUUUAUGUAUUGUCAGACAAUCAAGCAAUAUAUUAAAACUUUCAACA